rnacentral:rRNA from 1 species
UACGUAGGGGGCAAGCGUUGUCCGGAUUCAUUGGGCGUAAAGAGCUCGUAGGCGGUUUGUCGCGUCUGCCGUGAAAGUCCGGGGCUCAACUCUGGAUCUGCGGUGGGUACGGGCAGACUAGAGUGAUGUAGGGGAGACUGGAAUUCCUGGUGUAGCGGUGAAAUGCGCAGAUAUCAGGAGGAACACCGAUGGCGAAGGCAGGUCUCUGGGCAUUAACUGACGCUGAGGAGCGAAAGCAUGGGGAGCGAACAGG